rnacentral:rRNA from 1 species
AUUGAACGCUGGCGGCAGGCCUAACACAUGCGAGUCGAGCGGAUGAAGGGAGCUUGCUCCUGGAUUCAGCGGCGGACGGGUGAGUAAUGCCUAGGAAUCUGCCUGGUAGUGGGGGAUAACGUCCGGAAACGGGCGCUAAUACCGCAUACGUCCUGAGGGAGAAAGUGGGGGAUCUUCGGACCUCACGCUAUCAGAUGAGCCUAGGUCGGAUUAGCUAGUUGGUGGGGUAAAGGCCUACCAAGGCGACGAUCCGUAACUGGUCUGAGAGGAUGAUCAGUCACACUGGAACUGAGACACGGUCCAGACUCCAACGGGAGGCAGCAGUGGGGAAUAUUGGACAAUGGGCGAAAGCCUGAUCCAGCCAUGCCGCGUGUGUGAAGAAGGUCUUCGGAUUGUAAAGCACUUUAAGUUGGGAGGAAGGGCAGUAAGUUAAUACCUUGCUGUUUUGACGUUACCAACAGAAUAAGCACCGGCUAACUUCGUG